CAUAUGGGAUCCGUGUGCAUUCAAGUGCUUACUCUGCUGCUGGAAGCACUUGCUCCCCUCGCCCUUCUUCACUCCUGUCACUCUGCAAUCCUGUGGGCACCUAAGACCCAGGACAUGAAGCAUAUCACUCCAUUUUUUUCUUGACUUACUGAGCUUCUGUAGAGAGAUCUGCACAAUUAUAACUGGAGCUCCUUUACAGAGAGAAGGAGAGGCAGAGAAAAAUCUUCCAUCAUUUGGUCUACUCCCCAGAUAUCUUCAGUAGCCAGAGAUGGACAGAUCCAGAACUGGGAGCCUGAAGCUUCCUCUAGGUUAGCAGCUAAUUCACUGUCUACAGUGAACUGACAAUGUCAGCGAACCCCAAUCACACACAGCUUUGACGAGUUCCAUUGUGUGGCCUCCAAGCUCUCAGCCCCAAGCUACCAGUCACAUCAGGACAUGAGAGGAAAGUGGGUCAGAAGCAGAGCAGCCAGGAAACCCAGGAAAUCAACCUCUGAGACACUUGCACCACAGGGUAGGUGAUUGGCCUGCUGCUGUGCAGUGCCAGCCUCUAAAAGUACAGUUACUUUGUCUGGGAA